ACCCAGAUCUUUCCAAUCUAGAGACGCGCGCAUUCACAUAAAAGGGGCGGUUUUUGCACCGCAUGUCCAAUCGCAAACAUGGACAAAACAAGGGCCGCAUAUUUCACACAGGAGGAGCAGACAAUAAUCUUACAAACUUUGUCUGCUCCUCCUGCGUGAAAUAUUGUAAUACAAACAUAUCAGGAAUACAGACAUAUAAUACAGGCAAAAAGCAACAGUCACUGCUGCCAAAUCAAAUAGGGGAAGCUGGCAGAAAAUAGCAGACUCUGUAAAUGCGUAAGCUACAUGACUUAUUGAUAUCACUGCCCCAGGCACAAGAUGUGACUAUAAUUACACAUGUGCAUUCCAUAACGUUAAACUUUUGUUGCUGUAUUAUUUUAGUUGCAACCCUGGCAGUGGCAAACGAUCGUGGGAGCAAAUAAAAAAUAAAUAUAAAAACAUAAUUCAAACUGGUAAGUAGCAGCAGGCAAUACUUGCACAUAUUUUAAGGCCAACAAGUACUAGGCUGAAUUGCCUGAGUCAGUCCCUUUCGUAGGAUAUUGGUAUACAAAGGGCCUAUAGAACAAUGAAAUUGCUUUCAGCCAACAGGAAUAAAAAUUAGGCAAAGAAAACUGGAGGGGGCCCUCCUCCACAGGACUUCACUCCUGCUGAGGAGCUGGCCCUCUCCAGCAAUCAGGGUCGCCCCAUGAUGGAAGAAGUGGAAGGGGGCAUUUCUUCAGACCCUGGUGGCAGCAGCUCGGAAACCCAGGCAUAUGUACAGGGAAAUACAGUGGUGUUGCUGCCACCACCCACUGUCGUCCCACUGUGCCAUACAGAGGUGGAGGUCCUAGAUGAUCAGGAAACUGUGUCUGCCUGCUCAGAGAGCGCUUUGGGGAUACACUUUUGAGUUUUUUUACCACUUGCAACACAGAUGUCGAGAGUAUGUGAAUGUGUGUCUGUGAUUGAAGUGUCUGUAAUGACUUGCUAAUGGUGGUGGUCUGAACAUGAGACACAAGUCUUUAAAGUGCUCAUUUCAAAUAUGACUCAAUUGAUUAAAUUGCUAUGGUGUUAAACUC